CAAGACAUCCUCAGCCAAACCCCGACAGAGGGGUGAACGCAAGCAGGAGGCACAACCAGAGAUCUCGCGUGACCUGGUCCAAUGUGACGUAGUGUAACUGUUGUAACGAUCCUGCACUCAGAGAAAUUGCCUACCGUUCCCUCCCACAGCUUCCCCCCCCCUCCACGGCCACCGGCA